rfam:Rattus norvegicus chromosome 6, whole genome shotgun sequence.
GGGGAUUUAGCUCAGUGGUAGAGCGCUUGCCUAGCAAGCACAAGGCCUGGGUUCGGUCCCCCAGCUCCG